CGGAACGCGAGUCCAAAGCUUUUUUUUUUUUUUCCAAAGGGUUAAGCAAAAAAAACGGAAACGGCUAAAGAAGAAAACAGAUCUGCUAGCAAACAUCCGAGAGAUCCCGCCAGGCUCUCCCCGCCAGUCCCAGAUCCUCGCAGGUUAGACCUAAAAAAGAGCCCAAGUGGCAAACAUUUUGGGAAGAGGCGAGGCAAGCCCGGCCUUGCUAAGGAUUCCCGGAGCAGCGUCUGGCACCGGAGUCCGGGUUUUCGUGGGAUUUUGUAAGGUAGCAGGAGAAAGCUCGAAGCAGACGCAUUAAACGCCUGCAGUUACGGGGGACGGAGUAGGGGUGGGGGGUGGGGAAGCGCCUGGAGAGUUAAACUACAGUCGCCUAAUUCUGCAACCCUUCCCCCCUUCCUCCUCCUCCUCCUCCUCCCCCAGGUGUGUUUUUUCUCCUUUUAAAUCCAGGCACGGUAAACAUACUAAGACUUUGGAACGGUUUCAGAUAGGGGGAAACCCUGGACCGCCUGUGUGAUUUUCAUCCUCUCCUUCCCUCCCUUUUUUUAAAAAAAAAAGUUUGGCACUUGCGAGGCGUCAGAAAUUAGGUGGUUUCGUGCUAAGUGUGCCAACUGAUGCUAUCUGGAAAUAAUAAUAAUUUUUUUUAAAAACAAAAACCCUGCGAGGUAUGUAGCAAAUGUUAUGGAAAAAUUAUCUGUUGCAACAGCUCCGCUUACCUAACUCCUGCGCUGUAAGAGGCAAACCCUACAAAGUGGAGUGAAAGGCAGCUUGGAUUUGGGAAAACGGGGGGGGGGGGGGGGAGGUUGGCCAAGAGCCUAGGGCAGUCAGAGGCGAGGGAGUCUUUCUCUCCCCCCCCCACGCCUCCCCCUCCAGGUGCGUGUAAGAGGUCUUCAGGUCUCGGGCGUAAAUAUUUAUUAUGGCACCUUCUUUGUUUACUGCGGAUGCGUCUAUGCGAGGUCGUGAGUUUAUUGUCUCUCUUUCUCUCUCCAGUAAUGUUUCACUCUCAGAGACGGUGUAAAUACUUCAUGCGGUGUUUUUAGCAACAUCUCCGGGACUGGAGGGUUUCCCACUCACACACACACCCCCACUCUCAGUUGAAUCCACAAACUUGGGAAUUGCUAACAGUUCCCCACUGCAAGACCAACCUUGCUUUACUCUUUUCCGGCAUCUCUCAUGUUGGUCUGAAUCCCUUUACUCGGGGGAGUAAACUUCAACGAGAACAGCGCGCCUGGCUCCAAGUCAGCCGCUGCGCAUCGCGCUGCAAUCUCAGACCGACUUCCGAGGCCCGUUCCUUUGGGAGAGGCUGGGGGGAGGAAGGAGGGGUGUUUCAGAUGGACGCUAAGGAUACUAUUAGCUAUGGAACCGCACCGCUGUAUAACUCGGAGGAGGAGUAGCCGCCAUCCGUGCACCACCCUUUAGAUCUGUUCUUGAAGGAAGGUGGGUUGCCUCGGAGAAAAGCGCUCCUAAAGGAAGGUUUAGGCCAAAGCACCCGAAGACAAGGAAUAAUGGAUGGAAACUGAGCCAGGAGAGAUUCAACUUGGAAAUAAGGAGAAAUUAUUUCUGACAGUGAGAACAAUCAACCCGUGGAACAGAAGUUGCCUUCAGAAGUUGUGGGAGCUUCAUCACUGGAGGCUUUCAAGAAGAGACUGGACUGCCAUUUGUUAGAAAUGGUGUAGGGUCUCCUGCUUGGGUGGGGGGUUGGAAUAGAUGACCUACAAGGUCCCUUCCAACUCUGUUAAUCUGUAAUCUGGGGGCCCCCCAGAUAUAUCGGGUCUGCAGUUCCUCAAAUUCCCAGCCAGUCUCACUCCUUGGAGGCAAAUUGGGGAAGGGUGCAACAUGCCGCUUUAGGUCAGGGGUCAGCAAUCUGCAGCUCUGGAGCCGUAUGUGGCUCUUUCAUUCCUCUGUUGCGGCUCCCUGUUGCUGGUCGGCUCCACAAUUGCUAGGGCUUACGGUUAAGAUAGGUAGAGGAAAAAGAAUGCCAUGCUAGGAGGAGACUCUAUGGGGGGGGAACCGGACUUCCGGUCCGCAGAGGAAAAAGGACGCCACGCUAGGAGACUAUGAUGGGGGAAACGGACUUCCGGUCGGCUCCAGAAUUGAACGGGGGGCUUCCGGUUAGGACCUUUGUGGCUCUUUGUUUAAGGUUGCCGAUCCCUGCUUUAGGUGAAAUAUGGGGGGAAAUGCUCUUGGGAGAAAGCGAUCGGCUUUGGGGCACCACGAAGACAAAUUUGAGGCAAGAUAUGACAGUUCAGGACUGUUUCCCUUGACGUUAAAAAAAAAGAAGCCACCUCUUCCUCUGGGCCUCGUCCCAAAUCCAGAAUAGUAAUAAUAAAAAAAUGUUGCUCCUGGUUUUGUACUGGGAAGAGACGGA